rnacentral:tRNA from 1 species
UGGGCAGUACCUUAGAGGUAGAGCUACCGCUUCGCAUGCGGGAAGACCUGGGUUCGACUCCCGGCUGCUUAU